GGUUCCAUAGUCUAGUGGUUAUCAUGACUGCUUUACACACAAAAGGUCCAGGGUGCGAGUCUCAGUGGAACCA